AGAGUUUGAAUCAUGGCUCAGGAUGAACGCUGGCGGCGUGCUUAAUACAUGCAAGUCGAACGAGUUCUGAUUAUUGAAAGGUGCUUGCAUCUUGAUUUAAUUUUGAACGAGUGGCGGACGGGUGAGUAACACGUGGGUAACCUGCCCUUAAGUGGGGGAUAACAUUUGGAAACAGAUGCUAAUACCGCAUAAAUCCAAGAACCGCAUGGUUCUUGGCUGAAAGAUGGCGUAAGCUAUCGCUUUUGGAUGGACCCGCGGCGUAUUAGCUAGUUGGUGAGGUAACGGCUCACCAAGGCAAUGAUACGUAGCCGAACUGAGAGGUUGAUCGGCCACAUUGGGACUGAGACACGGCCCAAACUCCUACGGGAGGCAGCAGUAGGGAAUCUUCCACAAUGGACGCAAGUCUGAUGGAGCAACGCCGCGUGAGUGAAGAAGGCUUUCGGGUCGUAAAACUCUGUUGUUGGAGAAGAAUGGUCGGCAGAGUAACUGUUGUCGGCGUGACGGUAUCCAACCAGAAAGCCACGGCUAACUACGUGCCAGCAGCCGCGGUAAUACGUAGGUGGCAAGCGUUAUCCGGAUUUAUUGGGCGUAAAGCGAGCGCAGGCGGUUUUUUAAGUCUGAUGUGAAAGCCCUCGGCUUAACCGAGGAAGUGCAUCGGAAACUGGGAAACUUGAGUGCAGAAGAGGACAGUGGAACUCCAUGUGUAGCGGUGAAAUGCGUAGAUAUAUGGAAGAACACCAGUGGCGAAGGCGGCUGUCUGGUCUGUAACUGACGCUGAGGCUCGAAAGCAUGGGUAGCGAACAGGAUUAGAUACCCUGGUAGUCCAUGCCGUAAACGAUGAAUGCUAGGUGUUGGAGGGUUUCCGCCCUUCAGUGCCGCAGCUAACGCAUUAAGCAUU
rnacentral:rRNA from 1 species